CUGCAUGGCUGUCGUCAGCUCGUGUCGUGAGAUGUUGGUUAAGUCCGCAACGAGCGCAACCCUUGUCAUUAGUUGCCAUCAUUUAGUUGGGCACUCUAAUGAGACUGCCGGUGACAAACCGGAGGAAGGUGGGGAUGACGUCAAGUCCUCAUGGCCCUUAUGGGUAGGGCUUCACACGUCAUACAAUGGUCGGUACAGAGGGUUGCCAAGCCGCGAGGUGGAGCCAAUCCCAGAAAGCCGAUCGUAGUCCGGAUCGGAGUCUGCAACUCGACUCCGUGAAGUCGGAAUCGCUAGUAAUCGUGGAUCAGCAUGCCACGGUGAAUACGUUCCCGGGUCUU
rnacentral:rRNA from 1 species